rnacentral:rRNA from 1 species
CGUGUCGUGAGAUGUUGGUUAAGUCCCGCAACGAGCGCAACCCCUAUUGUUAGUUGCCAUCAUUCAGUUGGGCUACUCUAGCGAGACUGCCGGUAAUAACCGGAGGAAGGUGGGAUGACGUCAAUCAUCAUGCCCCUUAUGACCUGGGCUACACACGUGCUACAAUGGUUGGUACAACGAGUUGCGAGUCGGUGACGGCGAGCUAAUCUCUUAAAGCCAAUCUCAGUUCGGAUUGUAGGCUGCAACUCGCCUACAUGAAGUCGGAAUCGCUAGUAAUCGCGGAUCAGCACGCCGCGGUGAAUACGUUCCCGGGCCUU